UUGAGGUCUAGAAGCUUACUCAUGUACGCUCCUUCUCAUGCAAGAAGACGUACUCAAUUUCUACUCUCUUCUAUCAGUCUCCUCACUCCUGUCUCUCAUGUCUCCUUUUCCUCCCACCGUUCCUGUCACCCACGCAGCACGCCGGAGCAGCUGUAGCAGUCGAGCUCGGCAUCAGCUCCCUUGCUGCUCACUUUGCAGCACCUCGCCAGCUCCCUGGUAACACUCUGCACCUGCCGUCGAACUCUCUCAGGUUCGGUCAUCCCUGCUCCCUUCCAAAUCAACGCCCCUCCACUCGACUCUACUACUGUGUCGUGCGCGCGCUUCCUCCUGCUUCCGUCGCUGGGUGCGUGCUCAUCUUCCGUCGCGUGCCACCUGGUCGAUAGAAUGAGCAGUUUGGUCGUCCCCAUCUCGCCGUGGUUCGUCCUCACCAUGUUUUCAGAUGUGUUUGGGCUGAGAUGCCAUUCGAAAUCGAUGAUCUGUUCGUCGCCACCGGCCGCAAGCACCAGUUUUGUUGAACGUGAGAACGUCUUAAUCUGUUGAUAUGAGUUGAAAAUUGAUGUGUCGAUCUGUGGUUUGACCUAGUGUUCUCGUCAUGUCUAUGUUCUGGUCGAGGCCCUAGAUACGUGAUUGAAGAUCCUUUGUGGUGAUGAAGGUGAAAUCAGCAUAGCACUCGCCAAGCGUUCUACAGAAGAGCCCUCAACAGAAGGAGUGAAGAUUCAAGAUGAAGUGGUAGCUGAAGAGGAGUUUGCUCUAGUGCCUGUUCAUCAAGUGGAUGUAGCCAUCUAACUGAUCAUCAUGGUAGAAGUAUCUAGAACCUCUUCUCUGCAACAAAGGCAAGCCCCGGUGCAUUUGCCCCUUCCUUGUGUUUUAAAUGCUUUAUCACCUUAAAUGAUGCAUUAGGUGAUAGGAGUUGUGUGAUGAACAAUUGAUGCAUUACCAUUACUUGGAAUUUGAAUACUAUACCUUGAUCCCUGAUUUAUAAAAAGAACUGAUAAUGCUUAACCCUGCUUAGAAACUGAAAAAUCAUUUGUUUUCAAAAAGAAUGAUUGUGGAACAUUGGUUAUGGGCUUUUUGAUUAAAAAAUCAAAGCAAACUAAGGUGAUGACUCCACUUCGGCCGGAGUGGGCUCAUCAUUGGAAAAGAGUACCCCUGCCGGGUACCAAAAAUGGGGAAAUGGUUAAUAAAUCUAGACCAGGCGCUGAGCAGACAGAGUCGCCCGUCUGUGUCGAUUAAGGACCGUACCGUUGACUGGCCUGUUGUGGUUGAGACUUUGCAACUAGCCACAUACCCUGGUAUGGGACAGGGUAAGCUUGAACCCGGCUAUUCCAUACGUAAAGAGACAAUCGCGCACUGGGAGUGGAGAGAUGGCGGGAGUAGCAUGUACCCUCCUGGCAUAGUAGCACGCUUGAUAGGGUAAUGUGCUCUCGGGUGGCGCGGACCUGUUCAUGUAGUGGAGGACUCCGUGGGAACAGUUGACAUAUGCAAGGGUUAAGUGCUACAUAUGUCGUGUGGUUAGAGAUCCCCAGCUGGGUAUAAUCGGUUCGAAUCGUCGUUGCUUCUCGGUUAUGGAGACUCAUCCCGGUGACCAUCAUCGUAGUUAGCAAGUGAAAUAUGAGAAUGAAUAAAAUGGAGCUAGUAUAGGCCAAGUGCUUGAACUAGAUCAGGCAAAUAUAGAUUCAGGUAAUAACCUAACUAGUGAAAUAAAACUUAGCUUAAGGAUCAACUGGUAGCAAGCUUUUCUGCAAAAAAGGAUCCUUUGAUCAUUGAUAAACUUUACCUUGACUCCCAAUCAGCUAGCAUACCCUUGAGAGUCUUUUCUUUAGUCGGGUAAGUCUUGCUGAGUAAUUGCGUACUCAGGGUUUUAUCCCCUAUUGUUUUUGCAGGAGAAGUUUUAUUCCCUUAUCUUUUGGUUAGUUACUUCAUGUGGAGGCCUUGAAGCUUAGAAUGUUUAUGUGUAUCUCUUAUGGAAAGGCUUCACCCUUCCUAUUAUUGUAAUAAAUUAUGCACUUUGGGUACUAUCAGGACUUGUAAUAAAUACAUCUCUUUCUACCUUGUAAAA